UCCCUGGUGGCCUAGCAGUUAAAGGCUUCAGCAUUGUUACUGCUAUGGCUUGGGUCAGUGCUGAAGCAUGGGUUCGAUCCCUGGCCUGGGAA
rnacentral:tRNA from 1 species